AUGAACGCUGGCGGCGUGCCUAAUACAUGCAAGUCGAGCGAACAGACGAGGAGCUUGCUCCUCUGACGUUAGCGGCGGACGGGUGAGUAACACGUGGAUAACCUACCUAUAAGACUGGAUAAAUUCGGGAAACCCGAGCUAAUUCCGGAAAAUUUAUUGAAACGCAUGGUUCAAUAGUGAAAGACGGUUUUGCUGUCACUUAUAGAUGGAUCCGCGCCGCAUUAGCUAGUUGGUAAGGUAACGGCUUACCAAGGCAACGAUGCGUAGCCGACCUGAGAGGGUGAUCGGCCACACUGGAACUGAGACACGGUCCAGACUCCUACGGGAGGCAGCAGUAGGGAAUCUUCCGCAAUGGGCGAAAGCCUGACGGAGCAACGCCGCGUGAGUGAUGAAGGUCUUCGGAUCGUAAAACUCUGUUAUUAGGGAAGAACAAAUGUGUAAGUAACUAUGCACGUCUUGACGGUACCUAAUCAGAAAGCCACGGCUAACUACGUG
rnacentral:rRNA from 1 species